rnacentral:SRP_RNA from 1 species
UUGUGGGCUAGGUUGGGGGGUUAGCGGUCCCCUGUUCCGGAAAUCCGCUAUAUGCCGGGACCGAAGCUCCGGGGAAGGCCUUUGCACUGAAGGCGAAGCCGCAACCUAACUGUGAAGCUCUGCCCUCAGGGGCUACGCUUAGUGGUGAACCCCGCUAGGCCCGGAAGGGAGCAACGGUAGCCGCUAUGCGGAGCGCUCUGGGGAUUUGGAGCUGAGAAAGGUUGCGGGGCAACUUUGUCUUCUGUGCAAGGUCAACUCUGGGGCGCGCCCACAU